GCUUCUAAUAGAAUUGAACCAAUUGGAGAAAUAAAUUAUUAAACUCAAUAUCACAAACAAUUGGACAUCACUUCACUGUUCAAACAUUCAUCACUAAAUAUAUCAAAAUACAAAGGGGUACUUCUGACUUUACUGAUGAAAAAAAAAUUGACCCUUUCCCGUAAACUCCGAGAUCUCCGCUCCUUUUGUAAAGUGAAAAAUUGAGAAAUAAAAACCACACAAGAAUUUAACGUGGAAACCCAAAACCGGGAAAAACCACAACCGUUGUCAAAAGACAACAACCGACCACAAUGUGAAAAAUUCUCACAAUUACAUAAACCUCAGUAAAUUCUCCUAACAAACAGCGUUAGAAAUGCAUUCGGUUUGGUACAUUUGAAAACAUAACUUAAGCCCCCUUAUAUAGGCAAGNNNNNNNNNNNNNNNNNNNNNNNNNNNNNNNNNNNNNNNNNNNNNNNNNNNNNAAAUAAAACAACACAAGAAUUUAACGUGGAAACCCAAAACCGAGAAAAAACCACAACCGUUGUCAAAAGACAACAACCGGCCACUAUGUGAAAAAUUCUUACGAUCACAUAAACCUCAGUACAUUCUUCUAACAAACAGUGUUAGAAAUGCAUUCGGUUUGGUACAUUUGAAUACAUAACUUAAGCCCCCUUAUAUAGGCAAGCCUCCAAUCUAGUCUUUAACAUUUUUCCAAUGUGGGAUAAUGACCCUUCUCAUUUUUAAACAAAAUCCCAACAAACUCCACCUUGAUUAAAAAUGAUCAUAGCAGCAGUUAUGCGCCAUACUCCACAUUGCUGAACACCUGUCAUACUCCACCAUAAAGAGUAUCGCCACUUAAAAUAAACCAUUCUAAGAAUUCCAUUUCGGCUCAUGUCGAAAAACACCUUGAUGAUUAUUAUGGUGCUACCUCCACUAUUGGCUCUCCUUGGAAGUCCAUCAGCUAUCGACAUAACUGUUUCAUCAUACACCUUGCAUUCCUGCCAAACCAAUGCCCGCGUGUAAUUCCGCUAUUAAUCUCACAUCCUUCACCAUGGCAAAUAGCGGCAUGCCAUAAGGAUGUACAUGUCUUUGGGUCAUAUAAGGUCAU
rnacentral:lncRNA from 1 species